rnacentral:rRNA from 1 species
CCUACGGGUGGCAGCAGUGGGGAAUAUUGGGCAAUGGGCGCAAGCCUGACCCAGCAACGCCGCGUGAAGGAAGAAGGCUUUCGGGUUGUAAACUUCUUUUCUCAGGGACGAAGCAAGUGACGGUACCUGAGGAAUAAGCCACGGCUAACUACGUGCCAGCAGCCGCGGUAAUACGUAGGUGGCAAGCGUUAUCCGGAUUUACUGGGUGUAAAGGGCGUGUAGGCGGGAAAGCAAGUCAGAUGUGAAAACCAUGGGCUCAACCUGUGGCCUGCAUUUGAAACUGUUUUUCUUGAGUACUGGAGAGGCAGACGGAAUGCCUGGUGUAGCGGUGAAAUGCGUAGAGAUUAGGAGGAACACCAGUGGCGAAGGCGGUCUGCUGGACAGCAACUGACGCUGAGGCGCGAAAGCGUGGGGAGCAAACAGGAUUAGAUACCCCGGUAGUC